rnacentral:rRNA from 1 species
AGUGAACGCUGGCGGUAGGCCUAACACAUGCAAGUCGAACGGCAGCACAGUAAGAGCUUGCUCUUACGGGUGGCGAGUGGCGGACGGGUGAGGAAUACAUCGGAAUCUACUUUUUCGUGGGGGAUAACGUAGGGAAACUUACGCUAAUACCGCAUACGACCUACGGGUGAAAGCAGGGGAUCUUCGGACCUUGCGCGAUUGAAUGAGCCGAUGUCGGAUUAGCUAGUUGGCGGGGUAAAGGCCCGCCAAGGCGACGAUCCGUAGCUGGUCUGAGAGGAUGAUCAGCCACACUGGAACUGAGACACGGUCCAGACUCCUACGGGAGGCAGCAGUGGGGAAUAUUGGACAAUGGGUGCAAGCCUGAUCCAGCCAUACCGCGUGGGUGAAGAAGGCCUUCGGGUUGUAAAGCCCUUUUGUUGGGAAAGAAAAGCAGCAGGUUAAUACCCCGCUGUUCUGACGGUACCCAAAGAAUAAGCACCGGCUAACUUCGUG